rnacentral:rRNA from 1 species
AGAGUUUGAUCCUGGCUCAGGAUGAACGCUGGCGGCGUGCUUAACACAUGCAAGUCGAACGAACCUUCGGGUUAGUGGCGGACGGGUGAGUAACGCGUGAGAAUCUGCCCUCAGGAGGGGGAUAACGGCUGGAAACGGCCGCUAAUACCCCAUAUGCCGAGAGGUGAAACGAGUUUUCGCCUGAGGAUGAGCUCGCGUCUGAUUAGCUAGUUGGUGGGGUAAGAGCCUACCAAGGCAUCGAUCAGUAGCUGGUCUGAGAGGAUGAUCAGCCACACUGGGACUGAGACACGGCCCAGACUCCUACGGGAGGCAGCAGUGGGGAAUUUUCCGCAAUGGGCGAAAGCCUGACGGAGCAACGCCGCGUGAGGGAUGAAGGCCUCUGGGCUGUAAACCUCUUUUAUCAAGGAAGAAGAUCUGACGGUACUUGAUGAAUAAGCCACGGCUAAUUCCGUGCCAGCAGCCGCGGUAAUACGGGAGUGGCAAGCGUUAUCCGGAAUUAUUGGGCGUAAAGCGUCCGCAGGCGGCCUGAUAAGUCUGUUGUCAAAGCGUGGAGCUUAACUCCAUUUCGGCAAUGGAAACUGUGAGGCUUGAGUGUGGUAGGGGCAGAGGGAAUUCCCGGUGUAGCGGUGAAAUGCGUAGAUAUCGGGAAGAACACCAGUGGCGAAGGCGCUCUGCUGGGCCAUAACUGACGCUCAUGGACGAAAGCCAGGGGAGCGAAAGGGAUUAGAUACCCCUGUAGUCCUGGCCGUAAACGAUGAACACUAGGUGUCGGGGGAAUCGACCCCCUCGGUGUCGUAGCCAACGCGUUAAGUGUUCCGCCUGGGGAGUACGCACGCAAGUGUGAAACUCAAAGGAAUUGACGGGGGCCCGCACAAGCGGUGGAGUAUGUGGUUUAAUUCGAUGCAACGCGAAGAACCUUACCAGGGUUUGACAUCCUGCGAAUCCCUUGGAAACUUGGGAGUGCCUUCGGGAGCGCAGAGACAGGUGGUGCAUGGCUGUCGUCAGCUCGUGUCGUGAGAUGUUGGGUUAAGUCCCGCAACGAGCGCAACCCACGUCUUUAGUUGCCAGCAUUCAGUUGGGCACUCUAGAGAGACCGCCGGUGAUAAACCGGAGGAAGGUGUGGAUGACGUCAAGUCAUCAUGCCCCUUACAUCCUGGGCUACACACGUACUACAAUGCUACGGACAAAGGGCAGCAAACUCGCGAGAGCUAGCAAAUCCCAUAAACCGUGGCUCGGUUCAGAUCGUAGGCUGCAACUCGCCUACGUGAAGGAGGAAUCGCUAGUAAUCGCAGGUCAGCAUACUGCGGUGAAUACGUUCCCGGGCCUUGUACACACCGCCCGUCACACCAUGGAAGUUGGCCACGCCCGAAGCCGUUACUCCAACCCUUGUGGAGGAGGACGUCGAAGGUGGGGCUGAUGACUGGGGUGAAGUCGAAACAAGGUA